CGGUCCCAAGGUAGCAAAUUUCCUUGUCAUUUAAUUAGUGACCUGCAUGAAACAUAGAACGAUUCGAUAGCUGUCUUCUGUACACAUGUUGAUGAAAGAGUAGGGAGUGUGAAGAUACGUUCCCAGUGUUAUAGGACAAAAAGACCCUGUGAAGCUUCCACAGAUACAAAUACUAUUCAUCAUCACAUGUUACAGUAUAUUCUCCAACAACCAUUCAUCAAACAUCAUUUUCAACAUUCCACAAUAUUUAUCUUUCAGUUUCAUUGGGGCGAUAACCUUCUUUCAUCAAACAUUUGGUGAACAAAGCUACAACAGAUUUAUUUCCACAAUUAUAGUACAAAGAUACAUUUCUAGCUUACUAGUAAUAUAUCUCAUCCCAGUAUUUAAAUGGUAUCUUAAUGACCUUCAUCCAAAAUAUAUCGAAUCAAAGCUACUUAAGGGAUAACAGGCUAAUCAUCUCAUAAAGCUCACAUUGAAUUCUUGGUUUGGCACCUCGAUGUCGGCUUUUCUAACAUAAAGAAGUACAAUUCUUACAAAUGGGAGUGCUCAUCCCACACUUUAGGUACGUGAGCU
rnacentral:rRNA from 1 species